GUAGAGCCCCAGCCCGACCCCAGCCCGACCCCGACCGCACCACCUCCGCUCCCCAGGCUGCCGGCUGCCUCCGCCGGACUCUGGCCCCAGCUCGGAGGCCCCGGGGUCGAAUCCUGGAAGGGGCUCAGCCCCGGCGCCCCGGCCCCAACUCCCGGUCGGGAAAGGCGCUCACAGCUACCUAAGCCUCGGCGGCCUCCCGGUAGCGCGGGUCCCUGCCGGGCCUCUCAGGGUGCCGCGGAGGACGCGUCCAACCCCCCGAUUGCAGCGAGGCCGGGGCCGCUGGGAGGCCGGGCUGACCGCGGAGACGCCAGGCGGGGAGGGAGCGUGAGGACCGCGCAGUGCCGACCCGCGACGGGACUCCCUCGCAGCCCUGAGCCACUCGUCCAGCCCCUCGGCCGGCAGUGACCGUCCCGGGCGGGAACAAGGCCAGCUCUGCGCAGGUCCCUCUCUGGACCUUCACUGGCCACCGAGGGGACUGUGGCCAGGACGAGCCCAUGUUCGUCCUGCCCAGGGGCCAGCCUGGCUCCAGUGACUUCUGACCUGCACUUUCCUCACCCUGGGCAGCAGCAGCAGCACCCAGAUGAGGGACGCGGGAAGGGGGAGCUGCCAAAGCCAAGGCCAGCUCAGGACGGGAUUAUGUGUACUGGGGUGGACCACGCGAGAGACACCGGGUCGAGGGCCGGGAAGUCGAGACCAGCAGCAGGGAAGGGCAGCAGGGGCCGUCACCCUGCCCGCCUUCCCUCCAGCCUCGAGUAACUGGCAGAGGGUUGAGGGGGGAAUGGGUCCUUCUCCAGGUUUCCGCACCUCCUCCUCCCGUUCCUCCUGUCAGGGCCGAGCUGCGACCUCGCUGCCCAGGCAGGGGAAGGGGAGGCCACCCGACCCAAGCAGCUGAGGGGCUCACACUGCCCACCCCCGCUCAGCCACUUUGACCCCUCCCUCAAAUCCCCAAGUCCCGGGGUCUCAGCGAGAGGAGUGGGCUGGGUACUGCUACCCCCAAGCACAUUCCUACCUUCCCUCUGUCAUUUCCCUGCCCUUCAGCCGGUCCAACAGCUCUUUGGAUUCCUCUCCUGGUGCCUUUUGGAUCCAACAGAAACAGUGUUUUUUUUCCUGGAAAGCAGAACUAAGGCGGGAGGGUGGUGGUGGGAAUGGCUCUAAGUGAGAAGGAAGGGGGUGGAGGACCUGGGGUUGGGGAGCCCAGCUCUGGGGCCAGGGGAGCAUUCCAAUGCUCCCUCAAAGCUGGACUCAGGUUGACGUCCCGGCAUUCCUGGGUGACUGGGGAGUCAGGGCAGCUCUGGCUGCAUCUCUCCCCUAGUUUCCUCAGCUCUUAUAGCUGUGCAUCAACAGAAGAAAAGAAAUUUUGGGCCAGGGAUUUAGUUCAGUGGUUCCACUGCCUGCCUCAAAAGUGCAAGGUCCUGAGUUCGAUACCCUGUAC
rnacentral:lncRNA from 1 species